GGAAGCUGGGCUGGGAAGAAGCGAAACCACCACGGAGCUGGCUGCGGGAGGAGGGAGAGGCAGAGGCAGGCUGGCUGGAGAGGAGAACCUUGCUGAGCCCCAGAGGAAAUGGUUUAAUUGUCGACGUUUGCAGAUGUAAAGGUAUCAGCAGCUCCCCAAGCAAGAGCCUCACUUCCUGGGAGCAUCAAUCCCAUCCAACACCAGCCCUGCAAGUGCUGAGGGUAAAAGCCCUUCUGCUCCUGCCCUGAAGGCCACAAGCUUGCUUCCCACUGGCAACCCAAACAUCAGCAAAUCCCUCCUCAAGACAGAAGGAUGAUGAAAGAAUAUCUUCACUGAUCUCACGUUACCAGGACUUUUUGGAUGGCAGAAGAACAGGAAAUUGCCAGCAUGCACUUUUGGGGCAUGGAGCACCAGGGCAAGAGCAAUGAGCUGUUGCCUGCCAGUAGUAAAGCUGCUGUGAAAUCAGUUGGUGCUCCCAAAGAUACUGGUGUGGGUUCCCAUGAAGGCAAAAUCAGCUCCUGGGCUGGAGGAAGGAACCUUAGAGCUUAGGUCUGUGGAAAUCAUCCUUCCCCACCCCGUGCAGCUGUCCUUGCCUGCACGCUGCUGGGACACGCAGCACCCACAGGGCAGACUCCAGCAAACCCCACAUGGUCACAGAGAGCAAUGACAGCAAAGCCACAAACUCUGCACCAGCAGGGAGGAAUCUGCUCGACCCCUUCCUGUGGCAGCCCAGGCUGGGCCAGAAAUAAAGGCUGAUGGAAGAGA